rnacentral:lncRNA from 1 species
AUAUCACAAUUAAAAAAGAACAAGUAGAAGAAUGAGUACAUGAGGAGAUCAGCAGUGGGAAAAGCUAUAAUGCAGUUUUCCUGGUUUUGCAAUGUCCAAGGAUACAAUUGGCGGAGCUUCUUUUGUUUUAAAAAACAUGAUAAACAGGUAAAGAACGUGCACAAGCAGGAAGAAACUGACCAAAAGCUGCUGGUGUCUGACUGGACAGAAACUCAAGUUGGCCAUUGGUUAAAGAGUAUUGGAUUGAAAAAAUAUAUCCUGAAAUUUGAUUAUAAAAGAGUAAGCGGUCAAGAACUUCUUGAAUUAGACAAUGAUGCAUUAAAAUGCAUUGGAAUCACUAAGAAGAGAGAUUGCAAGAAAAUCCUUAAGGGUAUUAAGAAAAUUCAACAGACAGAAAAAAAUUAAUACAAUCUAACAAUUAAAUAUAUCAAAAAGAUAAUUCUGGAAGAUACAGCAAAAAUUAGAAAAAUAUAAUUACAUGAUAUUUACCUUUAAUCUACUACUUCAACAUAUUAUUUUGAUAUAGGAUAAUUUUUCAUUUUUGAAAAAUUAUUAUUAUCAUCCAUAAUAAGCAUUACACAUAUUAUACUGUAUUUCUGAAUAAACUGAUUAUAAUAUACA